rnacentral:rRNA from 1 species
UACGAAGGGGGCUAGCGUUGUUCGGAAUUACUGGGCGUAAAGCGAGCGUAGGUUGCUCGGCAAGUCAGUGGUGAAAUCCCAGAGCUCAACUUUGGAACUGCCAUUGAAACUGCCGAGCUGGAAUCUCAGAGGGGAUAGCGGAAUUCCAAAUGUAGGGGUGAAAUCCGUAGAUAUUUGGAGGAACACCGGUGGCGAAGGCGGCUAUCUGGAUGAGUAUUGACACUGAGGCUCGAAAGCGUGGGGAUCAAACAGG